rnacentral:lncRNA from 1 species
GCCAGAUCCCCAGCCGACGGAAGACGGAAGAUCCGCCAGUAGCGGACUGUCUCCCCUGGCGGUAAGUACACCAUCGCCAUUUCUUCGACUUUUUUAUUAAGACCAUCAUUAAACCGUACUCGAAGCCCCGGGCGGGUUAAUUCCCGCCCAAAUUUCCCGGUCGUCACUUCCGCUUUCCCGAGACCGGAUUCCGUCCGGUCCGGAGACCACCGCACCCGGUGGUCUCCGAUCGCAUCCCCUAACUACUACGGUAAUCUCGGUAAGCCGUGGUCGGACGGGGCAGGCCGCCCGAAGCGCGGGAUACUCCGGCGUCGCGCUCCCAGCCACUUACCCCGACGGAAGUGACGCCGAUUAACGGAUACCAUGUGCGAAACACGUGUGGCCGCGGAGACACGUGGUACCCUCGGGGAGGGAAGGCCAUCCGGUGCCAAGCGCGGCCGGUCCUUCGCGUCAGUCCUGGAUUGUCGACCGUCGGAACGCCCGAGCCGAGAUCGGUAGGGAUUGCGCGGCGCCGGGCCGACUGCCACACCUUCCCUUUUCCAGGUGAGCUCCGGGACCGUUCGAUCCGGAGUGGUUCCGGACCACUCCGAGGUGGGUGAAGACGUUCGACCGGUUACGGUAUUUUUUUUUGGUGACCAACGGCCGACAGACGAAACGACGGAUGGCCGUCCCCUUGGAACGGAAUUUUCGGGUCCGAGUGGAUGGGGAAUCACCACCUACGGUUACCGAAGAAAAUGACCUAACGGACUAGGCCGGAAGACUCUUUCCGACCGGAAACGGGACCGCGGCCAGAUACAAAAAGCGUGUAAUAGGUCAUCGCGUUAAUUUCUAGCGCGGAAUUAGCGUCGGUACAGCCGGCGGGAACGGGACGAGAGGAAUCCAGAUGGGGAGGAAUAGGCGGGCCGUCUGCGGGCGUGACGGACCUAUUCGGAAUACUUUACUUCUGGACCAGUAGAGAUGGACGGGUAGUCCCCCAGGAGUCGUCUUUGGUGGUGGUUUUUAGAUGGGAGAACGACUGUUCCAGCCACCAGGAAAGAAUGCCGAGUCAGACUCCGGCCACCAGACCCACCGAAAGCGGGUGGGCUGGUCGGCGGUUCCGGACCGAGUCGGGUCUAAGUAGGUUUAUUGGUGGGAAAAACAAGAACUUGGAGGCGCUAGUCCAUCCGUUUUGGGGGGAAAUGUUCACCGAGUCGACCAGAAACUGGUAGAAAGUGCCCGUUUGGCGCAAAAUUGGUGGAAAAUGUCAAAAAUACGGUUUCCGACAUCGAGCAAAUUUUUCCAGUGAGUCGAAGCGAUAGAUUUUCCAACGAAAUUGGCGGAUGUUUUAGAGAAAACUGGCGUUGAUCUAAUUACCGUCGGGCUUCGCUUUCCACUUUUAAUUUUUGCUUGGUAUAUCUUACACUCGAUCUUUCUGUUUUCGAAUUAGAUUCCAAAGGUACCCAGUGGGGUAUUCGGAACGGGCCAAGAUCCGCCUGCCCAUAAAAGUCUGUAAAAGCCAGACUUAGACCGACUGUAAAAAUGGUGAAGCUGAAGCGGGUUCAGCUGGGACCCACCGGUUCACCAAUGGCUGGGUAAAUUUCCGGCGGAAGACGGAAGACCGAGGGAGGUGAAAGGUGGAAGGAGUGGCCAAUCCCACCGGCUUCCCCCGAGGGAUAAGUCGGAGAAAGAGCGGGUGAAUACGUUAAAAAGAAAGAUUUGGUUCGGCCCGAAUGGAAGUAUUCCGCGAAAAUGAGGAAAUUCUAUCCGGGAACCUUAUCCGGAUACGAUUAGAAAACAGUGUGCGAUUUUCUUUCUCUUUUUUUAACGCUUAAAAAUCACACCACAUAAAUAACAAAGCGCCAAUUAUCCGGCUGGAACGGUCGUUAAAGUCAUAACAGUCGGUGCGGGGCCGUUGACGCGUCCCCGGCUAGCGAAAGGCGAGAAGGGCUGGCUUCGCCUUGCCCGGUUUUUUUCUUUGGCCGGCCGCCCUGGGUGAUGGCUGCUGGAACAGCGGCGGACGCUGCCCGGUCGGUCCGAUCCCACUAUCGUUCACCCUGGAUACCCCUUCUUCCCUCAACCUAUUUCCGUGUAAAGGUAGCUACCUAACCGACAGAAAUACAAACAAUUGGUCGGGCCAGACGGAUAGUAACAGUUCAUUCUUUCUACUCGCGCCGCCUAAUUCACUAGGACCGUCUACCGGAGGACCGAGGAUGCUGGGCACUCCGCCAGUAACGCCGACCGCGUUGGGGGUGUGUCCUACCGUCAAACGUCCAACGGCCCUCGUAUCAGCCAAACUAGUAGACAACAAUAAAAACAGUUUAUAUUUAAUCUGUCGUCAUAAAACGCUUCGGACCGUCGAUUUUUUUAUCACGAAUUCCGGCUUAGACCAGCUAAGCGUAAAAAAGAAGUUUUUUUGGUAAUUUUCCCCCAUCCGGUCCGUCCCUACCGUACCCUUUCCUCCCAGAUUUUUCCCCGGUUCUUUUCCGCCUCCCUCGGUAAUAAUUUCCCUCCCGACGCCAUUUUCGAAUAUCGGUAGCGGUGGUGUGGGCCCAAACCGCUCACCCCGGUAGGUAUAAUGAGUCGCGCCCGACUCACCGCUUUUUCCUGGGGCUACCGGCCGGUUUUCUACUCUCUCGUCUUCCGGUGGGACGGCCUCCGACCUCGGCCGUCGGUAGCGCUCACGCUAUCAGCCACGCGUCUUUUGUCUCCCCAUCUGGAUGAUCGCCGGAGCGGAAAGGCGCGUGCCUGCCCGGCCACCUUUCCGCGCCCCCCACUCUUUCUCACGCCGGCGGCCGCUUUACUCGCGGUAGCGAUCACUCCGAUUCGGGCCGUUUUCCCGCUUCGGUCUUCGCCAAUUAUUUCCAAAGUACUAACCGCCCGAAUUUCCGGAAGAAUGAAUGGGGUGGGAGGUAAUCUCAUUAAAAAAUCGCUGUCCGGCGUUCACUACCCGAAAGCCAAAAUUAUUGGAUUUAUUUAAACGUUAACGGGGCGCGUAUACUUUAGAAACCGGUAGCGGUAUGAAGAACCAGGCCAUGGGAGUGAGGUCGGAAGGUAUUCACGCGCUUAUGGCGUACGAUCCGUCAGCCUCCUCUUCGAACAAUUUAACCCGGGCCAAUUUGAUGACCGGCCUGUUUCCCGUCGAUGGUUAAAGGGGAAAUUUUGGAGUUUGGCGGUCUAGGAAUUUCCCACCACCCGCCCAGGCUGGGAAAGGUAAAGAAAAACAAGUUUAGUACGCGGCCAAAUAUUUUGCUUUAAAACCGUCGGCAGUAUUAAGAGUUCGGGUUUGGGGGGCCUACGGACCUCGGCCAUUUUCAUUUUGGAGAAUCCCCGCUGCUAAGACCCACCAAAGUGGACGGCCGACCGAAUUUAUGAUUUGUUACGGCGCUAUUUUUAAGGUCCGUUACCGCGUAACGUCCGAUGACUAUUGAGGACGGCCAUUAAAGAUCGGAUCGGAUAAAAAGUCGGUCCGGUACCGUUAAACUUCGCUUAUCCGGUACCUUUAACCGCCAGUGGAGAAAGCGCGUCCCGCCUUCCCCACGGCCGUAGCGGGCGCACCGUCCCGUCCCUUCACCCAACGGUGGUGGUUAGGCCGCUCCCCGGGAGUCGGUCCUUCCGGAAGCCUAACCGUCUAAUUUCCCGACUUGACGGAAAUAGAGGCGAAAAAGCCGCCACCAAGCGGUGUUUCCUCUUUGGGGCCCCGACCGGUAGGCCCUUGGCCGUUUUGCUUUUCGGAAUAAUUUAGGUGGGAGUAGGAGAAUCCGACAACCGGUUCCAUUCCGGCCUAAGCGUAUCGCUUCACCUCCACACCUUAGACGGAUCACCGUCUCCACUGAACGGGGAGACGGUAACCCGCAUAAAUUAGAUCGUGUCUGGUCUGUGGAUUUAUUUUUUGCCGGCCGAUCCGACUCACGUCUCCAUACGACGCUUUUUUCCCUGGGCUUCGACCCCGUCUGCCCACCGGCGGGAACCGAUCCUCCCGAUGUAACGUUAGACGCUAGGGCCAUUCUCCCGAAGCUUGGGGAAACCCGAUUGUGGAUUUUCUUUUUCCGUCUGGUUAAAUAGUUUCCCAGCGAUGGACGGUCUAACUCUGGAGACGAAAAACGCCGUCCUUCCCGACUAAAAAUAGGAAACGGAAAUUGGUGCGAGGGGGCGCGGAGCCUCUCGUCCUCAAAUUUAGUCGGUGGGCCCGAUCCGACUAAAUUCCCUUAUUAAUCGGUCGGACGUUCGUCGGUCCAGCUCCGACUCGGGACGCUUAUUAACGGACGAAGUAGGAGGGGAAAGCCGCCGGCCCUUCCUCGGAUCUUAUCCAGAAAUAUCGGCGGACCGGGACAACCCAUCCGUGGCGGUCCCCACCCACCGCCGGCCAGUGUACAGACGCCGGGUGACUUACCUGCCCGUCAACGUCCAUCUCGGUCCCCUUUUCCUGGCAAAGGCUACCGAUACUUCGGUCUUAUUAUCCGGGUAACUCCCUUGGAAAUUCUGGCUUUUUCUGGGAAGGUAACCGAAAAUCGGCACGGCCCACCCCAUCUCCCGCUGUUUCUUCGCCGUCCGUCCUCAUCGUCGAUGCGUACGGACGGCGGUAGGCGACCCGCCCCGGCCGAUACGUCAUCCGUGGCGCCGACCGAUCACGGCUGGACUCCGAUAUGGCCGCCCGGAUUAAUAGCGGCUUAACGGCCGCUUUGUCCCGUGUUUUGUUUGGGGCCGCGCCGAAGUUGCUAUCUGUGGCGGCCAGACGCCGUUGCGUUGGUGCCGGCCCACCAGGUAAGCGUGAAGGUGCGGCCGGAUCGACUUUUAUCUCUAGCGGCCAGCCGUCCCGGGGAAGUCCCGACCCGUCCUUUGUCCCCUCGGCGGUCGAUACCCAAGCGGGAGUACCGAGUUCCGGAGCCGGUUGAACCCGGUGAGGCGCCGCCGAAUUAUACCGCGCCGAUGGCACUCUUUCGGGUCCAGUUCCAACUCACCGUUAAAAUACGAAUGACGGAAAUGCUGUUCCGCCCAGUAAUGGGCAAUGAGAGCGUCCGGUUUUGUUUUCGCUGGAACGUUUCGAAGGUUAUCGAGCAGAAAUCUUUCCAGUCGGAAGGCCAGCUGUUUUUUGAAAGAAAAGACAAAAGUGGCAGCUCCCCGGCUAAAUUUUCUAAAAAUCUAAAUUAAGAGAAUAGGUCGGCCGUGUUAAGCUAACCUAACCGGGCGAAAAAACCGCUACCGUCCAGACUCUGGAUGGAUUCGACUUUACCGCCACCGUCAAAUCUGUCCACCGAUCAAAUCGAUACGUUUUGUGACGUUGAGUCGUUGGCAACAUCGACUGAGUCGAGAUAACAAGAUUCUCUAGCCUUAAAUCUCGUCUCCUUCAUCGUCUUUGCGUACAGACCUUGUCCGUAUUUCUUGUUAUAAAUAUCUUCCAUUCAACAUUUCCUCUUCUUCUAUUUUGUUUCUUUCCUCAUUUAAUGAGGAAAGAAACAAAAUACAAUCGAGCCCCGAUUAACCAACCCAGAAUUAACGAAUUUCGCGAUUCAACGAAUUAUUUUCGUGGUCCCGACACGAAUUGAUUAAAAUUCCCAGAUUUAACGAAUAAAUAA